rnacentral:rRNA from 1 species
AUGGAAGACUACUUCGCCGAGGUACCUACAUACCCUCCUCGUCUCUUCUGCAGAAGGUACCGAAUGCGGCAUAGUUUGUUUGUGAAGAUUGUCACCGAUUGUGAGGCCGCCUCCUAUUACUUCAAACGUCGUAGAUCCGCCGUCGGUAUCAUGGGGUUUAGUGCAUAUCAAAAGAUAUCGGCGGCAAUGCGGGUACUC